UACGUAGGGGGCAAGCGUUGUCCGGAUUUAUUGGGCGUAAAGAGCGUGUAGGCGGUUUGGUAGGUCCGUUGUGAAAACUCGAGGCUCAACCUCGAGACGCCGAUGGAAACCAUCAGACUAGAGUCCGGAAGAGGAGAGUGGAAUUCCUGGUGUAGCGGUGAAAUGCGCAGAUAUCAGGAAGAACACCCGUGGCUAAGGCGGCGACCUGGUCCUUUUACUGACGCUGAGGCGCGAAAGCGUGGGGAGCAAACAGG
rnacentral:rRNA from 1 species